rnacentral:misc_RNA from 1 species
AAGGAGUCUAACAUCUAUGCGAGUGUUUGGGUGUCAAACCCGAGCGCGCAAUGAAAGUGAACGGAGGUGCGAACCGCCAGGGGUGCACCAUCGACCGAUCCUGAUCUCUAGGGAUGGAUUUGAGUAAGAGCAUAGAUGUUGGGACCCGAAAGAUGGUGAACUAUGCCUGAAUAGGGUGAAGCCAGAGGAAACUCUGGUGGAGGCUCGCAGCGGUUCUGACGUGCAAAUCGAUCGUCAAAUUUGGGUAUAGGGGCGAAAGACUAAUCGAACCAUCUAGUAGCUGGUUCCUGC